UAAAGUGGAUUAGCGGCGGACGGGUGAGUAACACGUGAGUAACCUGCCUUAGACAUUGGGAUAGCCUCGGGAAACCGGGAUUAAUACCAAAUAAAAUCAUAAUGACACAUGUCAUAACGAUCAAAACUCCGGUGGUCUAAGAUGGACUCGCGCCCCAUUAGCUAGUUGGUAGAGUAAAAGCCUACCAAGGCGACGAUGGGUAGCCGGCCUGAGAGGGUGAACGGCCACAUUGGAACUGAGAAACGGUCCAA
rnacentral:rRNA from 1 species